UACGUAGGGUGCGAGCGUUGUCCGGAAUUAUUGGGCGUAAAGAGCUCGUAGGCGGUGUGUCGCGUCGGCCGUGAAAACCUGGGGCUCAACCUCGGGUCUGCAGUCGAUACGGGCAAACUAGAGUAUUGCAGGGGAGACUGGAAUUCCUGGUGUAGCGGUGAAAUGCGCAGAUAUCAGGAGGAACACCGGUGGCGAAGGCGGGUCUCUGGGCAAUAACUGACGCUGAGGAGCGAAAGCGUGGGGAGCGAACAGG
rnacentral:rRNA from 1 species